GAUGAACGCUGGCGGCGUGCCUAAUACAUGCAAGUCGAGCGAACAGACGAGGAGCUUGCUCCUCUGACGUUAGCGGCGGACGGGUGAGUAACACGUGGAUAACCUACCUAUAAGACUGGGAUAACUUCGGGAAACCGGAGCUAAUACCGGAUAAUAUAUUGAACCGCAUGGUUCAAUAGUGAAAGACGGUUUUGCUGUCACUUAUAGAUGGAUCCGCGCCGCAUUAGCUAGUUGGUAAGGUAACGGCUUACCAAGGCGACGAUGCGUAGCCGACCUGAGAGGGUGAUCGGCCACACUGGAACUGAGACACGGUCCAGACUCCUACGGGAGGCAGCAGUAGGGAAUCUUCCGCAAUGGGCGAAAGCCUGACGGAGCAACGCCGCGUGAGUGAUGAAGGUCUUCGGAUCGUAAAGCUCUGUUAGUAGGGAAGAACAAAUGUGUAAGUAACUAUGCACGUCUUGACGGUACCUGAUCAGAAAGCCACGGCUAACUACGUG
rnacentral:rRNA from 1 species